CCUUGCCCGGUGGACAAUAUUGAAAGACGGAAUGGGACAUCCCGCCGAAGCUGCUUUGGACGGAGGAAGCACUGCAGAGGAUAUCCGUUUUCUUGGUUGGACAAUCCUGCUCCAAUAUAGGGCCAAACUCCAAGGACCUAUAAUGAUACUUGGAAAUUUGCUCAAAAGCAAGAUGGCCCUGAAUGUGUAUACCUAAAUGUUCCGCCCAUCCUCUACCAUGCCUGGACCCAGCACCAGAGGAAGAUCUUCUCCGUUCAGCUUCCACCUGCCAUUGAAUGGAUCAUCCAAAAGAUGGCAUGAAGCAGACAAGCUGCCCUUCAGCAACCCUGGAUCAUAUGCCAGCCGGGCAGCACUUCA